AAGGACCUGAAAAAGAUGAGAAGACUCAGAGGGGUGGGGUCCAUGCAUGGGGAGACCUACUGUGCACCAGAAGAGAAGACCCGUCCCUGAGGCCUCUGUCCCUGAGACCUCUUCCCAGCUCUCUCGGCCCUGCUGUCAGCCUCACACUACUGGAAGUUUGAGCAAGCUCAGCUCUCAUUCUGGGACUGACUUUUCAUAUGUCUUCGCUACAUUGUUCCUCUGCUUGGCAUGCAAAGACUAUGGAGACCAACCAGCCUGGACCCCUGAGUCACCUUAUGGAGGAGAGGAAAGUGGCCUGAUUUGCACUGAACUUGAUGUAAUGAAAAAGAUGACUAAGUACAUCAGUAGACCCUGAGUAAAGCAGAUUAUUCUCCAUAAUGUGGGAAGGUCUCAUCCAACUGGUUGAAGUCCUCAAGAGAAAAGACUGACUCCUCCCUCCCCACCAAAGAAGAAAGAAUCUAGUCUCUGGACUAUGUUUGGAUUCAAGACUACAAUGUUAACUCUUUCCUGAGUCCCCAACCUGCUGGCCUGUUCUGCAGAUUUUAGGAUAAGCCAGACCCUACAACUGUGUACCCCAUUCUUUAAAAUAAAAUUCUUUCCCCCAUUAAAAAAAUCUAUCUA